AUUGAACGCUGGCGGCAGGCUUAACACAUGCAAGUCGAGCGGAGAGAGGUAGCUUGCUACUGAUCUUAGCGGCGGACGGGUGAGUAAUGCUUAGGAAUCUGCCUAUUAGUGGGGGACAACAUUUCGAAAGGAAUGCUAAUACCGCAUACGUCCUACGGGAGAAAGCAGGGGAUCUUCGGACCUUGCGCUAAUAGAUGAGCCUAAGUCGGAUUAGCUAGUUGGUGGGGUAAAGGCCCACCAAGGCGACGAUCUGUAGCUGGUCUGAGAGGAUGAUCCGCCACACUGGGACUGAGACACGGCCCAGACUCCUACGGGAGGCAGCAGUGGGGAAUAUUGGACAAUGGGGGGAACCCUGAUCCAGCCAUGCCGCGUGUGUGAAGAAGGCCUUAUGGUUGUAAAGCACUUUAAGCGAGGAGGAGGCUACUUUAGUUAAUACCUAGAGAUAGUGGACGUUACUCGCAGAAUAAGCACCGGCUAACUCUGUGCCAGCAGCCGCCGCGG
rnacentral:rRNA from 1 species